GGAGGAGUGCAGGAGUGGUUGAACUGGCACGCCUGGAAAGUGUGUAUAGGUGAAAGCCUAUCAAGGGUUCGAAUCCCUUCUCCUCCGC
rnacentral:tRNA from 1 species